GGUUUUUUUAGUGUAUUUAUAAAAUUAUGCAACCAUUACCACUAAUUCCAAAAUAUUUUCAUCACCCCACAAAGAAACCUUAUGGUCAUUAAUACCUUCUCAUUCUCUCAUCCUCCCAGCACGUAGAAAUCACUACUCUAUUUUCUGUCUCUAUGGAUUUGCUUAUUUUGGACACUUUAUACAUCGAUACUGUACUUAAUUAUUUUAAUUAGUUAAUUGAGAUUUGAUAUUUAAUAUAAUUGAUCUAUUACUUAAAUGAAAUAUAUUUUCUUCUUAAGAUGAUUCUUAUAGUCCUCCUAAAAUGAAUCAAGUCUUAUCUAUAAACAGCUCCAUAGACUGACCAUGUUUUUAUAAUCUAGGUCCCUGGUUUUUCCUUUAUGUGAUUGUGUGCAGCAGAGAGAUGCCCUUACUGUAUCUUACACUAUGAAAAUAAAGAUAGUGGAAGUGAUUCCCUAUUUCCCCCUCUCCGGGGACCAAGGGAGGAAUAAGGAAAGUGGUAUAGUAGAGUUCAUAUUUGGGAACAUACUAUCACAAACUUUUAAACUAAAUAUGCUAUACCCCACCCCAAUCCUCCCUCUUCUUACUUUUACAGUGGUGUUCACUGACAUGAGCUAAGGAAGAGGGAAAGUGUUACACACUGGUUAAAUGCAUCAGAUGAAGGUGUUUCUUUUUAUUACAUAGGGCAACAUUUUAACAUUUUAAACAAUGUUAAUUUAAAUGUUUUAAAUAAAUACAUUCCUGUUAUUUGAAGCUAUAUUUCACAUGUUAAAAAUGAGGUUCCAGAAUGCUAUCCCAGCUUGACUAUCAGAAAAAGUUUUCCCCACAAUGUAUUUAUGGUACAUUGUUUAUCUUCAUUGAGAAUUAAAUGUUGGGUAGAUAAAGGGCAGUACACAGACAAAAA